rnacentral:lncRNA from 10 species
AACCAGUCACUGGAAGAGGAAAUGGGAUUCCCUCAGACCAAUUCCCUCAGCCUCCCCUAGAGCCCCCACGAGAUCGUCCUGGAAAGGGAAGGUGGACAUCUCCGCAUUGUUGGAAUUCUGCUAGGAAUGCAGAAGUGGGAGAAGAUAUCAGCUGUGCAAUCAUUGCACACCCUCAAUGACCAGAUUUCCCAUUUUAUUGUCACCAAGUCGAAGGCACUGGAGGAGGACAAAGACCCUUUUCUACCCACUGAGAAGGAGACUCUGAAGAGUUCCAUGAUAUUGAUGAGGCACCUCUUAAUGGAUGCUCAGGGAAAGGGAUGCAUUCCACAGAGUCCUAGGAUCCUGGGAGACAGGCCUGGAGUGGUGUGUUCCUUCUCUGACCCCAAGUUGAGGACUGAACUAAACUAAACCUCCAACGUCUGCUGGGCUCCUGGUAUGUCCUGAGCACUGUGUGAUGACCACAGCAUCCCUGCAAGGCACGGCUGUAUAAUGUCUUCGUUCUCCCCAGUGAGAUGCCUGUAACUGACCUAACUUAAAGAGAAAUAUGUUCUGCCUCCCAUCUUCAGAGGAAGAAACCCUCUGAGACCUACAUGUGAUUUGUCUUGUUGCCUGCAAAAGUUUGCUCUUUAUGGUGACAGCUAGGCUUGCUUGGGAGAUUUGAACAGAUACAGCUUCUUGGUGCAGCUGCCUCUGCUCUCCUAAUUUGAUCCUGAGCCUAACAAUUACAGUUAUCAAGGAGCCAGCUCUUCCAAAAGGUUUCCUGCAAAUCACGUCAUCAUCUGUGAUGUGUACAAUUUGGUCUCUUGGAUUAUGCAAUGAUUCUGGGUGUUGUUUUAAAGCCUGACUUUAAUAAAAAGCCCGAGAAAAGAACAAAUGCAAAUGGGUGUUGACGUGGACUGCCCAUCCUCUGGCACCAGCAGUAGAAUACAGACAGUACCUACAGCAACACAAUAGAUAAUGCAUCUGCAAUUACCGGGAUACUUAACAUGUGUUGUAUAACUCAUCGGAGAAAAUAUAGAUCUUUUGUGUGUGUUUCAGAUGUAGAAGGAAUGAAUGAAUCACAGGUCAUAAACUCAGGCGUGGGACAAGUAUCAGAUCUUUGUAUUUUCUUCCAAGCAGCUUAAUUUCAAUCGUGACUACUCCAUGCCAACAGGUAGGCAGGAAAUUCCACCUCAUUGAUUCUCUGGGUGCCCCUGUUCCCACCCAGAGGGUCUUUCUCUAGCACCAAGGUGCUGGGAGGGCUCCCUGUCCGCCUGUAAUUCCCCCAACUCCCCAGCAUGUACGAGCUAUGAGUCACUAGGCCACACUGGUUGCCAUGGAGACACUCAUCGUCCUAGUCUACUGGUCCCUCCAGGUUGAGGCUGCGGCUUCCACACCAGGCAUGGAGGCUUCAGGAUCUUGGUGAGGCUGGGAGGCACCUCACCCUUCCCCACUGGCAUCCUCACCAACCCCCUGAGCCUGGCCAGAGAGCAGGGUGCUGCCUCCCCUAGCUGUCAGAAUACUUUUUGGCUCCCAGUCCAGGGCAAUAAACUUUUCUUCAAAGAUUCUCUCGCUCUUCAUGUCCCUCCCAGAGUUGCUCCCUCUCCACCAAACCCAUCCACCUCUGUGAUUGUAAGCUUUGGCAAACCAAGGCCAGAAAGGGAGCUGUCCAGUGGGCAGCUCCAACUCUCCACCCUGCCUGGAGCCUCCCAGCUCGGAGCUUGUGGCCUACCAGAGACAUGGAAAGGGCGGAAAUAAAGAAAAGCAAUGCCCAAAUAGAUACAAAUGUGUCCCAUCCCUGCAAAUGUCACAAAGUCAUGAAUAAUUACCACGAGGGACACUUCCCCAGCUUUUUUGCUGCUCCAUCACCAGCAGCCCUCUAGUGAAUCCCAGCACUUCCUUCACUUUCUCUCCUAGUUCCAUUCCCAAGCCAAUAUUUCUUUGUACAUUCCAGCUGCCUUCUGAAUCCCUUACUUCCUCUUCAGUGUUCCCACGCAGGUGACAGCAGGAAGAAGCAUGGUCUGGUUGAUCCGAUGGUACAUGAAGCUAAUGGCCAUGAGCCUCCCAUGUGGUCCUGGGGCUGCACAGAAUGUGCUGGUGGCCACAGGAAGGCUCAGAGACCAUGAUGUUGAGGAAGGGGCUCAAGGGGGCUUACAGACAUGGCAGAGACACAUGAGAUGGAAUAAAAAUGCCACAUAUGUCAGUCAAAUUGAAUAGCUAAGGGAGAGCGAGGUGUUGUUUUGAAAGCGUAUAUCCACGUGGCUUAAAGGCGUGUCACUCGUUUUGUUUUGUUUUGUUUUGUUUUGUUUUGUUUUGU